CUUUGGACUCACGUAGGCAUAGGAGAACGAAACUUCUGUACAUUUUAAUCUGAAUAAUUCUUCAGGAUUUAAAAUUAAUUGGCUCUGGCUUGGUUGGACCGUACUCGGAUCUCGCCACCUCUGCGUUUCCCGAGUCACUGGCGAAGAGGUCCCAGUUCCUCUGGGAAUCGUCCUGUAUGCAACAUCUUCACAAGAGUGGCAGGCAGUUGAAUCUCUGGCCUUCGUGGGACCACUGGACAUCUGGCAGAGAACCAGGAAACCACGGUUCCCUUCUGUGAGUCCCUCAGCCGGAAAACUACAAGCUCCUCAUGCAGCUGCUGUCUACAGACCCCCUGGACUGCCUGGGGAAGUGAGUCGGAGCUCCUGCAGCAGAGGGGUGGAACAGCUACACGAAGAUCCGAAGGUGGCCAAAAAUAACAGCGCUUUCCAGAUGAGGGAGCCAGUUGUCCAGCACAGUGUCAUGGGACAGUGGGCCCUGGUGCCACAAUGCCCGGCAUCUCCACCAGAUACAGCUUUGAGAUCUUCAUGAUGAAGCUUGCUCCAAUCCAAGGGCUGUCAGGUGGGGUUUGCGGUUCAGCUGCUAACCUUUCUUUGGUAAGCAUUUACUAUAUUCCAUCAUUGCUGAAAUUACUUUUAAUCUUGAUUUGGGCCUUUAGUCUCCUAAUAGCACCCACUUGGGACAUUCUUUGUUUCUGUUUUGUUUUGUUUUGAGAUGGAGUCUUGCUCUGUUGCCCCAGUUGGAGUGCAGUGGUGCAUUCUCAGCUUAUUGCAACCUCUGCCUUCCGGGUUCAAGCGAUUCUUGUGCCUCAGCCUCCUGAGUAGCUGGGAUUACAGGCUUGUGCCAUGACACUGAGCUAAUUUUUGUAUUUUUAGUGGAAAAAUUUUGUAUUUUUCUACUAAAUUUUUCUACAAAAAAUUCUUGUAUUAUUCUACUGAAUUCUAAAAAUUUUGUAUUUUUUCUACUAAAAAUAUAAACAUUUUUAGUCAUGUUGGCCAAGCUGGUCUCAAACUCCUGGCCUCAAGCGGAUGCCUGCCUUGGCCUCCCAACAUGCUGGGAUGACAGGCAUGAGCCACUGUGCCUGGCCAGGGGACAUUCAUUUUUAAUUCCCAUGUAGGCUGGGUCUCUUUUAUCCUCUUAGUAUAAAGUGAUAUAUGUCCACUUUAGAAAAUUUAGAACACAGAGACAAGCAAAAAUAAGAAAACAAAUACUGUAGACAGAAACAUUGUUAACAACUUGAUGUGGGCCUUUCUCAUCUUUUUUCUUUCUAAUUAUGGUUUUUAUAUCC
rnacentral:lncRNA from 1 species